UGUGAUAUUUUAGAGUUUGUUCUGUUGCUGAAGAGAUUCUCUUCUUAUGGAAAUGUAUCAGUCACAGUUUCUCUUUUGAACCUGUAGAGGGAGGUCUAUGCAAACUCGUCCUCUCUUAUAAACACACCGUCAGUAACUUGUGGCAGAUCAAUCAGACAGUUCUGAACACUUUUGAAAAUCUGAGAUCAGACAGCACUGAACAGAGGAAUGGGUAAAAGUAGUAUCUGGAGUUUAUUACUUGUAGUUACUAUUCAUGGAGUUUGGAGUGAGAUCAGACUGGAGCAGUCUCCCUCUGAGGUGAAAAGACCUGGAGAGACAGUGAAGAUGUCAUGUAUCAUAUCUGGGUUUGACAUGACGAGCUACUAUAUCCACUGGAUCAGACAGAAACCAGGGAGAGCUCUGGAGUGGAUUGGGAGGAUGGAUGCUGGCAGCAAUUCUGCUAGCUAUGCAAGCUCCUUUCAAAGUCGCUUCAGUAUGACAGAAGAUGUGCCCAGCAGCACUCAGUUCCUCCAGAUCCAGACACUGACAGCAGCAGAUUCUGCUGUUUACUUCUGUGCUCGUAGAGACACAGUGAGUGAGGACAGUGGAGCAGCUGCACAAAAACCUCCACAGAGAAUCAGCAGUGUGAUCUCAAUCAUAUCUGUUUUUUCAUACCAUCAUACUUAGGCAUGGGAGACAUCACUAAAAAAUAUUUCUUAUCAGUCGAUAUUGAUAAUUAUCACAUUAUUUCUUUCAAAUAUAAACAAAAUAAUGAUUGCA